CUUGUUAGUUAUUUCAAAACGAAAACUCAACAUCGCGGAAUUUGAUUUCCGAUGUCGAUGUUGCAUUGUUCUACGACUUGUUGAGUAUCUUCUUCUCUUCCAGUAUUUUUCUUAUCGCGUGAAGAUAUUGGCAUUUUACUAUCACAUCGAAUAUUAAUUCGUAAUCAGCAUCAAAAUCGAAAAUGUCGCCCAAAAAUUUUUGAGUGGCACGCAAAUGAGUGACCACAUGGAAUGGCUUCAUAUGAACUAUGUUGUAGCCUGUUGGGGUCGGUAACAGAUGUGCAGAUGCGCAUUGAUGAAAGAGAAUUUAAAAGAAGAUGCUGCAGAAAUGUGAAGAAAGUCUGCCGCCCCUGGAUCCAUGUCUAAGCCAACACCAAUUUGUUUUGCUGCAGGGCUACGCCACCUCUCUCAUGAGACGGAACUCAAUAGUUUGACGCUCUGUCUCGGCUGCAUUUGGAACCCGAGCAUCAGUGUAUAGACUGAUAUCAGCCGAUAUUAAGAGGCGCAAUCCAUUUGCCUGUGGGAAUGAAUAUGCUAAAAUAGGUGAUGUCUGCUAACUGGAGGCAAAGCUGGAUGACCCGCAAAAGAGGACCAGUCGGAAUAAUAUAAGCGUCUCAUGAACCAUGGGGUCAGUGACAGAUGAACGAUUCUUGUUAUUGGCCCAUUUGGGCAAGAGAUCACAUAUUUUGAUCCUCUACUGGGCUUGACCCAGAUAGAAAGAUAACUCCAGCGGCCACACGGCACCCGCAAAGAUCCUGCUGCUGCAGGCAAGGGUGCGAUAUGGAUCCUAUUUCAAGGCGAAUGUGCGCAAGUCCCGGGCCCUAAAGCUAUACUGUACCACCUGACGAGGAACUGCAUCCCAUCGAUAAUCUGAAACUAUUACCAGCUCGCAGACGGAGCGAGACGAUGCAGAUAUUCAACUUGUUUAGUGCUGGACAGGAUGCCAUUUGCCGACUGUGGCUUCCAUUGAACUGGUCCAGAUGCUAGGAAAAAAGCAAGGAUUCGAAUUUGCGAUAUUUGCCGCAAUUUAGUGUCGAUGACAAGAGAAAAUAAAAUCGCUUUCAUCAUGGCGCUGAAGGAUGAGGAUCUUGCAGCUCUCCAAUACACAAAUAGUCGAUGUUGUAUAGGUAUCGUACCCCAACAUUGAGCUCAACUAUGUGGUGGUCCAGCUGGAGCGUGAAUGCUCCGUGAUUACAAUCAAGGCUGGGGGGUCGCAGCACCCGGCAAACAUGACCAUACAGGAGCGAAUCCUACUUCAUCUAAGUGGCCCAUUUCCAAUCUUUGAGUGGAACCGAGUCGGAUUGGGGCGCAGGUUAAGAUUUUUAAAU